UACGUAGGCAGCGAGCGUUGUUCGGAGUUACUGGGCGUAAAGAGUGCGUAGGCGGUUUUCUAAGUUUGGUGUGAAAUCUCCCGGCUCAACUGGGAGGGUGCGCCGAAGACUGGAAGGCUUGAGUAUGGGAGAGGUAAGCGGAAUUCCUGGUGUAGCGGUGAAAUGCGUAGAUAUCAGGAGGAACACCGGUGGCGAAGGCGGCUUGCUGGGCCAGUUCUGACGCUGAGGAGCGAAAGCGUGGGGAGCGAACAGG
rnacentral:rRNA from 1 species